CUUCCACGAGAUCUGUGACGUUCCUGAAAGCCGGUGCUCCAUCAGGCUGCGUCCCAGAGCAAAGCAAUGUGACCAGCGUCCCUGCCAACCCUUGAUGGACACAGAACAGAAGGAAUUAGACUUUUCUGUCUUAAGUCACUGAGAUUUGGAAUUGUUUUUCACUGCAGCAUAACCUGGGCUAUCCUGACUGAACAGUCACAGCUAGCGUGGCUGCAGAAUGGCACUCCAUUAAGCAUUGGAGUUACAAAAAUGAAUAAGGCACAGCUCUCGAAUUUGGAGUGAGGGACAUAAGAAGACAUUUACAAGAAUACGUGAUGGACAUGCUCUGCUUCAGCAAGGUUUCAGAAAGGGUCCCAGAGCAAAGAUCGUCUAUGUGAAGCAGAGACACAGCCAACCCUGAAGGAGCCUGCAGUAUGAGUGAGAAGUAAUUCUGUGGCUGUCAUCCAAUAAGACUUUCGGAUUGCUACCAGGGCAUAACCGGGCCUCUACAAAGGUGUGCAUUUCCAGCCCUUGACUUCCAGCACAUUGUGGGAUCGCACUUUCCUGCACCCUUUAAGUAAGACACAGACAUGUGACUAGUUUUUGACCAAUAAUGUGUAAACACAAG
rnacentral:lncRNA from 1 species